GUCUCCCUUCUAAUAUCUAUGUCAGAAGCUUUCUCUGCCCCUUUUCAUACUUUAAUAAAACUCUGCUACAAAAAGCUCUUGAGUGAUCAAGCCUGGUCUGUGGUUCCAAAGCUAAAUCUUGAAUCUGACACAGUAAGCUAUCAAGAGCACUGAAAACAAACAGAAAUUCAGCACCAGGAAAUUCUGAGAGCAAAGUAUAAGACACCAGCAAUAACAACUGAUAACUGCAAUGUUGAGAAAUUUUAUAGCUAAAGGACACUGACGGAGGAGAAAGAAGGAGAAUAUAAAAACAACAUGCAGCCAGAAAUGAAGAAAACUCUGAAUCAACUGUCUUUGUGUAGGAGAUGAAAGCACAAGAACCCUACCACCUUGGCAUGCCAUUCAGUUACAUCACUGUAAAUAAGAAUAUAAGAUUUGAGUCAACAUCUUGGAAUUCAGAUUUACACUUUCUUUUUUGGUUCUCAAUUACCUUAAGAAAACUUAUCCAGAUUAUCUACAUUAGAUCAUACAGCCAGGCAACAGUUUUGUAGUAUUUGUCAUUGUUAUCGUAUGUGUGUGGGUUGUCAUUCCAGGUGGCAAGACUGGACAAAGGUAAUAGUUCAAUGUUUUGGAUAAUAAAUCAUGUAAGGCACUACUUCUUAAA